AGUGAACGCUGGCGGUAGGCCUAACACAUGCAAGUCGAACGGCAGCACAGUAAGAGCUUGCUCUUACGGGUGGCGAGUGGCGGACAGGUGAGGAAUACAUCGGAAUCUACUUUUUCGUGGGGGAUAACGUAGGGAAACUUACGCUAAUACCGCAUACGACCUGCGGGUGAAAGCAGGGGAUCUUCGGACCUUGCGCGAUUGAAUGAGCCGAUGUCGGAUUAGCUAGUUGGCGGGGUAAAGGCCCACCAAGGCGACGAUCCGUAGCUGGUCUGAGAGGAUGAUCAGCCACACUGGAACUGAGACACGGUCCAGACUCCUACGGGAGGCAGCAGUGGGGAAUAUUGGACAAUGGGCGCAAGCCUGAUCCAGCCAUACCGCGUGGGUGAAGAAGGCCUUCGGGUUGUAAAGCCCUUUUGUUGGGAAAGAAAAGCAGCAGGUUAAUACCCCGCUGUUCUGACGGUACCCAAAGAAUAAGCACCGGCUAACUUCGUG
rnacentral:rRNA from 1 species